UACACACCGCCCGUCACGUCAUGGGAGUGGCCAAUGCCUGAAGUCCGUGGGCCAACCCUUCGGGGAGGCAGCGGCCGAGGGCAGGGUCGCGACUGGGACG
rnacentral:rRNA from 1 species